GGGAGUUCUUGGGAGGGAACAUCAGUGGUUUGACUUUUAUCAUAAUCUUCAAAGCCAUUGUCAGGCAAUGAUGCAUUCUCUCGCACUGUAGAAGGUAGUUUGUUAUCAGAUAAACCAAUAUCCAAGCUCACCGGUACACUUUCUUUUUCUGUGUCGAUAUCCAUGGCAUUAGAAGUUUCAUGUUCAUGUCCCACGGACGAGUUC
rnacentral:misc_RNA from 1 species